rnacentral:rRNA from 1 species
GUACACUCCUGCGGGAGGCAGCAGUGGGGAAUAUUGCACAAUGGGCGCAAGCCUGAUGCAGCCAUGCCGCGUGUAUGAAGAAGGCCUUCGGGUUGUAAAGUACUUUCAGCGGGGAGGAAGGCGAUAAGGUUAAUAACCUUGUCGAUUGACGUUACCCGCAGAAGAAGCACCGGCUAACUCCGUGCCAGCAGCCGCGGUAAUACGGAGGGUGCAAGCGUUAAUCGGAAUUACUGGGCGUAAAGCGCACGCAGGCGGUCUGUCAAGUCGGAUGUGAAAUCCCCGGGCUCAACCUGGGAACUGCAUUCGAAACUGGCAGGCUAGAGUCUUGUAGAGGGGGGUAGAAUUCCAGGUGUAGCGGUGAAAUGCGUAGAGAUCUGGAGGAAUACCGGUGGCGAAGGCGGCCCCCUGGACAAAGACUGACGCUCAGGUGCGAAAGCGUGGGGAGCAAACAGGAUUAGAAACCCGGGUAGUCCCA